rnacentral:rRNA from 1 species
UUAAACAGCCCGCUCUUUGUGGCAGUCCCUGCUUACAGCCUUGUCUGAUCUCGGAAGCUAAGCAGGGGCGGGCCUGGUUAGUACUUGGAUGGGAGACUGCCUAGCAGCGUCGGGCCUGGUUAGU